GAAUUCGCCCUUAGAGUUUGAUCCUGGCUCAGGACGAACGCUGGCGGCGCGCCUAACACAUGCAAGUCGAACGAGAGAUGAGGAGCUUGCUCUUCAAAUCGAGUGGCGAACGGGUGAGUAACGCGUGAGGAACCUGCCUCAAAGAGGGGGACAACAGUUGGAAACGACUGCUAAUACCGCAUAAGCCCACGGCUCGGCAUCGAGCAGGGGGAAAAGGAGCAAUCCGCUUUGAGAUGGCCUCGCGUCCGAUUAGCUAGUUGGUGAGGUAAUGGCCCACCAAGGCGACGAUCGGUAGCCGGACUGAGAGGUUGAACGGCCACAUUGGGACUGAGACACGGCCCAGACUCCUACGGGAGGCAGCAGUGGGGAAUAUUGCACAAUGGGGGAAACCCUGAUGCAGCGACGCCGCGUGGAGGAAGAAGGUCUUCGGAUUGUAAACUCCUGUUGUUGGGGAAGAUAAUGACGGUACCCGACAAGGAAGUGACGGCUAGCUACGUGCCAGCAGCCGCGGUAAAACGUAGGUCACAAGCGUUGUCCGGAAUUACUGGGUGUAAAGGGAGCGCAGGCGGGAAGACAAGUUGGAAGUGAAAUCUAUGGGCUCAACCCAUAAACUGCUUUCAAAACUGUUUUUCUUGAGUAGUGCAGAGGUAGGCGGAAUUCCCGGUGUAGCGGUGGAAUGCGUAGAUAUCGGGAGGAACACCAGUGGCGAAGGCGGCCUACUGGGCACCAACUGACGCUGAGGCUCGAAAGUGUGGGUAGCAAACAGGAUUAGAUACCCUGGUAGUCCACACCGUAAACGAUGAU
rnacentral:rRNA from 1 species